UACGUAGGGUCCGAGCGUUGUCCGGAAUUAUUGGGCGUAAAGGGCUCGUAGGCGGUCUGUUGCGUCGGGAGUGAAAACUUACAGCUUAACUGUGAGCGUGCUUCGAUACGGGCAGACUUGAGGCAUUCAGGGGAGAACGGAAUUCCUGGUGUAGCGGUGAAAUGGCGUAGAUAUCUGGAGGAACACCGGUGGCGAAGGCGGCAUUCUGGGACCGACAUUGACGCUGAGGAGCGAAAGCCAGGGGAGCAAAGCGGG
rnacentral:rRNA from 1 species